AAUGUCCAAACAUUUGCAAACCCUCUGAGUAAACCACUCAGGUUAUUCUUAGACAACUAAGGUAACUUUACUGCCUGCCAUGGGCAAGUGCCCUUUAGAUUAACAUGGUAAACAAUUCUCGAGUGAUUAAUGACAUACACGAUUUCUCUGCCCUCUACUGAGGGCAGAACUCUCUUAAGGAGAGCAGGAAAAGGCUUUACCUCUUGAUUUAUAGGCUCAGACCAAAGCAAUCUGAGUUUUCUCUGAGUAUGGGAAGCUAUUCCUGAGGAAGAUAUGGGCUCUCAAAAGAGAGACCACCGAAGACAAGGAAGAAAGGAUCUUCCAUUAUUCCUUUGCUCCGUUAACUAUCCUCUGAGAAGCUGCCAGUGUCCCUCCAGUCUUAGUUAAUUAGAUGGGUUCAGGACCUAAUUCUAAAAACUACUUUCCCCAUGACCAUAAUAGAUGAAAACUAAAGGAAGAACCUGACUUUUCUCACUUCAAUUCGGUGACUCUGGAAGUCAUGAAUCUGUUGAAAAUGGUAAAGCCACAAGAUAGAAGGAACCACAUGAUGGAAAACAAUUCUGCUUGGAGAAGAGCUUCCGAUCAAUCAAGAACAUCUGAUUAAACUUGAUGUAAGGAAAAAAUAAAUUUGUACUUAUUACA